CUGGAAGGGGCUUUUCGGUUGUAACCCUUGGGUUAGUUUCAGUUACUUCUUUGCUAGGUUGAGGAAAGGGUGGAAGCGCCUCCUGCAGCCACGAAUAUCCUCCAGUGCCUGAGAGAAAACGGCCUAAUCGAAAACGUCCGCGGCAUACAUCCAUUCUUAAAACUUGAGUGGCUGCUUUUCUGGGUGGAAAAGAGCGGUAUCAGACAGGUAACAAUGCCUGGAUUUUAUUCAGAUGCUGUGUACCCAGCCAAAAGACUACAUUUCUCAAUCUCCAUUGUAGCUGGAUGUGGCUGUGUGAUCAAGUUAUGACCAAUGAGAUAUAAGUAGAAGUAGCUUGGCCAGACACAGUGGCUCACACCUGUAAUCCCAGCCCUUUGGGAGGCCAAAGCAGGAGGAUCACUUGCACUCAGGAGUUGGAAACUGCAGACCAGCCUGGAGAACACAGUGACACCUUGUCUCUACACAAAAUGAAAAAGUUAGCAGGGUAUGGUGGCAUGUGCCUGUGGUCCCAGCUACUUCCAGCUACUUGGGAGGCUAAAAUGGAAGGAUCGCUUGAGCCUGGGAGAUUGAGGCCUCAGUGAGCCAUGAUCAUGCCACUGUACUCCAGCCUGGGUGACAAGAGCAAGACCCUGUCUCUCAAAAAAAAAAAAACGCGGCUGGGUGGAACAUCUGGAAAACAUCUUUAAAGAACGCUGACUCAAUCAGGAGGAGCACCAUUUUGUUUCUUGCCCUCUGCCCUUCCUGCCUGAAACAGAUAAGUGCCCUCUGUGUACCAAAAAGGAAUGUA
rnacentral:lncRNA from 1 species